UACGGAAGGUGCAAGCGUUAAUCGGAAUUACUGGGCGUAAAGCGCGCGUAGGCGGCUUCGUAAGUCGGGUGUGAAAGCCCCGGGCUCAACCUGGGAACUGCACUCGAUACUGCGGAGCUCGAGUACGAGAGAGGGGGGGGCUGGAGUUCGGGAGAGGAGCGUGGAAUUCCCAGUGUAGAGGUGAAAUUCGUAGAUAUUGGGAAGAACACCGGUGGCGAAGGCGGCGCUCUGGACCGAGACUGACGCUGAGACGGCGAAAGCGUGGGGAGCGAACAGG
rnacentral:rRNA from 1 species